AGUGUGGGUAGCAUGGACUCUGGAGCCUGAUCUCCUACCCUCAAAUCUCCCUGCUGACACCCAGACCUGUGGUCUAUGGCAAGCGAUGCUCUCAUCCUGUGUUAUGUUAUUCUCAUCUGUAAAAUGAAGAUGAUAACAGAUGAUAACAGUGCUGACCACAUAAAAAUAUGAGGAUUCCAACUGGUCAGUGGCCUGGCGUACAAAAAGAGAAGACCUUGCACUGGAAGCUUCUUUGGAUGGCAGAAAACAAGACAAAGGAAAUCUCCUCUUCGUUCUCCAUUGUGAAGCUUGCAGCAGAUUCUCCAAGGAGACUGGGACCUCAGGGUCUUUUGGAUCCACUGCAAAAUAAGAGACAUUUUGAUUCACAUCCUUUGAAGGCUUUGUUUUCAGAAGAACUGCCCAGAUAAAAAGCAACCAUCCAUCUCAUGGAUGAGCGUGGAAAAAGAAGGAAUUUAGAAAAAAUAAGCAUGGUGAAAAGGGAAAGAGUUGUAAAGGGAACUGAAUUUUGCACGGGUAAAUCUGCCAAUCACAGCACAGCUGGCCCAGGACAAAGGACGAUAAUAGAUGGAGAGAUGAUGGAAUCCAAAAAAAACCUUUUAAAACCACAUUCAUGAGAAUGACCCCUACUAAAGGGAUGGACAAAUGUCCAGGGCUUCAAAAACGAUUUUCCUUAAGGUUUUCUCUGUAAGCUCUGAAAUUAUCUCUGGGCAAUGGCUGAGAAGUCUCUAUCUCUUUAUUUCUUUUCUUUGGGGUGGUUGGUAGAGGAUGCAGCUUGAAGUUUUCUUUCUCUUCCCUUCAUGAGACAGGAGUGGUAGCAGAUGAAAAAGUAACUUAGCGAAGGCAAAGCCAGGUUUGUCUUUCUGAUCUAGAUUCUACGAGUAGAGCUGACUGCAUAUGGAGAGACAGAGAAAGGAACAGGUUCAAUAUAAAAAUGCAAAGACCCUUGGGAUAGAGCUUCCUUGGUUUAAGUUUCUUUGAUCCUGGAGCUGGAGGUGAGGAUUCUCAUGCAGGUGAUUUAUUGAGAUGAGGGUAAGAGUGGGGUUCUCUUAAGUGGAAACAUGGGCAAGGGAUGUGAAUUCAGUAGGGUGAGGCAGGAAAAUGGGUUAAGUAAGUAGGUUAGCCUAACUUCACGCCUGAUCUCAGGGAGAUUUCUGGAGUAUGAAUUGUACCACCGAGUAAUUCCCACCUUGAGGUCAAGGAUAGCCAAUUUGUACCUAAUGUCAGGGGCUGAAAUCAUGAGCUGCAGACCAUUCCCAGGGAGUGGAUAAAUACCCUGCUUACCGACUUACCUCCCUCCCUAUCUGCCCACAAGUGAAGUGACUUCUGUUGUCCAAGGUCAAUUAAAGUAGGGGACAACUCUGAGCCAGUAACAAUCAAUAUGGUAGCUGAGGGAUGGGUAAAAUGGCCCAUUAAAGAGGUUUUGGGUGGGGCACCAAUUCCUACUCCCACAUAUGCUAAGAUUUCAUCAUUUAGAAGUAAUUACUAGGCACCCAGUAUUGGGUACAAUGAAGGAGUCACUAGGGCUGGGAUGAGGGUGGACAACGUCUUAUAAGCAGUUGACUCCUGGCAUGGGAUGGAAUCAAAGGAAGCUCUAUUCCAUCCAAACCUACUGUCUCCCUUCCUCACCUAUCUAUGUACAUGGACUAUUUCCCUUCCUCGCCUAUCCAUGUACAUGGAAUACCGGAAUUAGAUCAUUUAUUUGGAGUAUAUAUUUUUUCAGGUAACAUAAUUAAAUAUGCAUUGAAAAGCAGUAGAGAGUAUUACUAACAUUACUAUUUAGAUGUAGGUCCUAGAAAUAUUUUGUCUCUCUAAAUGUAAAUGCAUUUUUUUUCUUUUUCCAAAAGAAGAAAAACAAUGUGUUUUCAUGUUUCCUUUAGCUGGGAGAAAGGUUAAUUCCAUUUUUAUUUGUUUCUGCUCCUUUACUAAGUUUAUUCUAUUUUAUACUUGUAAAGUAAUAUGAAGAAAAAUUCUAUUUCAAAUAACUAAUUGCAGCCACAUUCACAUAUUUCAUUGAUACUAAGGUGAAUGUUUUUCCACAAUUUACUAUUGGCAAAAUCAGGAUGGGAUGUUGCCCUUUACUAUCCCUUUGCAUCAGGUGAAAGUCAGAACCUAGCAGCAUUACCUGUGCUUAUAAAAACUUGGUUACCACUUCAUUUGUUUUAUGUGCAAUGUUGUUACUAUCUGGGUUCUGUUUAAUUGCCAUCAAUAAUUUAGCCUUAAAAUAUCUCAAAGGCAGAAAUGCAGAAGGAUAAGGCUUUGGGAUAUUAAUUUGAUAUUAAUGAAGCAUAUGUUUGAUGUUGGAGGAAUGAAUGCAAUUCCACAUUAUCUUGCAAAGCUACACCAAGUGCUUUAUGUUAAUAAGAAAGGAAGCUACUCACAGGUAAAGCAGUUAGGUUUUGUUAUCAAGGCACAAGCAAAAACAUUAUCUAUCCUAUGCCAACGAGUACAAUUGAACUCAGGAGAAACAGUCACAUCCUCUGAAAUAUGUAAAAAUAAAUAAACUGAUAAGCCGAUGUGACUGAUUUGUGCAUUGCUCAGGACUAACAUAAAGGUAUUUUGGCGUAGUUUAACUGGCAGUCUGUUUUUUUAAAGGUUUUAUCAGUACAUUUACAUUUUACAAUGAAUAGGGGCUGACAUUGCAUAAAACAUGGUGCUAGUCAACAGCAUAGUUGAUCUUAUGCAAAAUUAUUUUGGAAAACAACUUGAGGGGUUGAUGAAACCUGGAUGAUGAAACCAUCAGGGUCACACCUGAAGUCAACAAAGUUAGGUUUAUUAGUUUGCUGCAGCAAAGGGAGAAUAGAACCCAGAGGAAGCCUUGGAGAAUCUCAUAAGGGAAAUUGAAGGAAGGCUUCUGACGGAGUUAGGGCUUUGGAUGAAUUUAAGGAGAAAUUAAUAAAGCAGGGGCUUGCUCUAGAUUAGAUGCUGUCAAGAAAUUAGAGCAAAUUUCAUCUAGGGGGCAGAAAAAUUAAAGUGAAGCUAAGGUUGUCAUUGGCAAAAAAACAAAAACAAAAAACCCACUAGUUAUUCACAUUAGUCAAAAGAGGGUGUCUAGUCAUUGUGGUUGUGGAGUAACUUGUCUCUGUCAUAUUGCAAACAUGAUCAUGAUGUGACCUGAUCUAAACAUUACUUAUAUUUAAUUGGGAACAUCAUGGCCUGGCUGCCAGUGGGGCCACUGUAGUACAAUAUGUGAAAAACUCAGUGGAUUUGGAGUUGAAAGCCUGGGUUAAAAGCCACACAUCUUUUGGGUGUGGGAUUUGUUCAGUUUUCAUAAGCUUUCUGAACUUCAGUUUCUUUAACUGUAAAGUGGAUCUACUAAUAAACAUGUGAAGUGGUUGGUGAGAAGAUAC
rnacentral:lncRNA from 1 species